UGGGUUAACCAAAAAGUUCUUUCUGACUUUUCUGUAAGAUGUUACAGAAAACCCUGAGUGAACUUUUUGGCCAAACCAAU
rnacentral:miRNA from 1 species